rnacentral:rRNA from 1 species
UACGGAGGGUGCAAGCGUUAUCCGGAUUCACUGGGUUCAAAGGGUGCGUAGGCGGAUAAGUAAGUCAGUGGUGAAAUCUCCGGGCUUAACUCGGAAACUGCCGUUGAUACUAUUUAUCUUGAAUAUCAUGGAGGUAAGCGGAAUAUGUCAUGUAGCGGUGAAAUGCUUAGAUAUGACAUAGAACACCGAUAGCGAAGGCAGCUUACUACAUGUUAAUUGACGCUGAGGCACGAAAGCGUGGGGAGCAAACAGG